rnacentral:tRNA from 1 species
AAUGAAAGAGUAUAAUCGUAGUAGGGCUGCUAACUUUACUAUAAAUGUGGCUUGCAUUUUCUUUCAUUU